UCCAAGACGCCACCCCGAUUCGACGCCAUCGCCGUUCGCCGCCGCAGUCGCGCCCUCCUCUCCUUCCCAAGCCGUCGUACGUGCUGGGGCUUCCAUUAGGGCCACAAGCCUCCGGUCGACCUCCAGAGGCCAGAGGGCGCAAAAGGGCGAGGACGAGCUGGUCGCGGAUCCACUUGAGGUCCACGGCAGCGUCACCAUUGCCAGAAGUUGCCGCACGCAGGAGGUUCAUGUGCGAGGGCGUGAGCGAUGCGGCGGAGGGCGCGCCGGCGGUCCGUGUGGGCAGAGGCAAUCACUCCAUUCCCUAUAUGUUCGUCCUGUCCCCACGUCCGGCCGUCCAUGGUCGCUGAGUUGAGGCUGCCCUCUCGCACCGCCAUCACGUGCACUGCCGCAAGCCUUCCCUGACCGAUCUCUUCCAUGGCCGGCCGAUGUGCUUUGGCUUCCAAGCUGCAGCUUCUCACCUAGACAACGUCGCUCCAUCUCACCGGCUGGUCAAGCAUUUGGCUGUUUAUCAUCAACCUCGCGGCUGGUCCGGCAUGCGGUGGCUCGAUGGCCGGCACUGCUGCUGCCUUCUCCUCAUCUGUGAGCGCACCGUCGGUUCCAAGCCACUCUGCUGCAGUCUAAUGAGUGGUCCUGCUGCGGCGUCCCACAUGGGCGAUGCUCAAUGGGCAGCUCAGCCUUCAGAAGGGGAUUUUACAGUAGCAUGGAGUUUUUGGCCUCCCCAUGUCAGGUAAAAGUCAGGCAGUUUUGAAUCUUUCUGGGUACACUUAUGGAUUGAUUUUGUUCGUAGUACAUGUAGUUAUUACGCCGCCAACUGUCAUAACUAUGUCAAAGAUUCAGCGAGAGAAAGAAGUAUAGAGACAAUCAUGGGAAGAAUAGCCAGAAUUUUGGAUCCUGUAGACCUCCCCUUGCUCUGGAUAUUGGGUUACUAUGAAAGCAAUUUCUGACAUGCUGAAUCAAUUGCUGGCUGGGCUGUAAGUUUUCUUGCCUUCUUUUUUUCCCACUCCGCAUCAAACUCUCCAACACGCCGGCAACUCUGAGGUGCGAACAAUUUAUCCUCUUCUCCGUUGACUCUCUGGUACAUAAAUAGGAUGUAUUGAUUUGACUGACUCAAAAGCCGAAUGUUCCCCUUGAUAAUUAAUGCAAUAACUUUGACUGUAUUUUCAUUAAAAAGUUUUUUGUAGUAAUUUAUUCAUAACAGGGCGCUCAUAGACUUCUAAUAUUUGCAAAUAAAAAAAUUAAAUUCCUUUUGCAGUUAUAGUUUAUGCCACCAGGUAGAGUAGAGACUUUUACCAUCCGCAAAUUAGAAAUUAAUUAUACAAGUCAUAAUGUUCUGUUUAAAGUUACAUGUUAUAUUCUACAGAUGAGUGAAGUCAAAAUUGAAGAGAAAAGUCAAUUAGUUGACGAAUAACUGACAUAGUUGGUGAAGUACAAUAAAGAUGUAAGUAUAUUGACAGAGGAUACGAAAUGGCUAGAUUGUCAAAUGAUAUAUAUGAAAGACAGCUAGCUUCAUGAAAGAUAUUCAGGAAAUAUUUAGGUGUCAAUAAAUAUUAGGCUACCCUUGAAGAAAUAUUUAAUUACUCAAUGAGGUUCAGGUGCUAAACCCCGGAUAUGCAAGCAACAUGAGUUUACUUCAGAUGUUGAUUUUCUUAAUCGUAUUAACUUCUCAGAGAAUUUACUUUUUUGAUCAGCAAAUAUCAGUCUAUUGUCGAGCAUGCCUUUCUUUGUAAAGAGGAAUUUUGAUCUCACACACUUUGCUCGAGUGAAGAUGCUAAAUGAUAAUGCAUUUCUGCUACAUUUCUCCCAAGAUUACCCAUUCAUGUCUUCGCAUAAAUGUUAUCUGUAAUUUGAACAAUGGAUCAACGGUGGAGAAACUGAACUAAUAGAGUGCACACCUAAACAUGGUUAAGUUGUGUGUGUUCCCUUAGAUUGCUCAACUUCAGUUAACUGAUUUGUCUUGCAACAUUGCCAGUACUUUUUUUGAGGGCUAAAAGGGAAGAUUUUAUUCAGAAAAGUGAUACGGUUGGUUACAGUGACUACAGUCACAUUCAUGGGAAACAUUGUUUUGCACCCCUUCAGCUGAAACACAACUCCAGUUCUGGUUAUUAGACAUACAGUUUCUGACUUCAUGCAAUAAUACCCCUCAGGUGCAUUCCAUGGAGAAAGGCCCAUGCUUCAGCUUCUUCAGCGUUGUUGCAGUUGUUCAGAACACUGCCUGCAGCAACUAUUGUUUUGCCCAGUUCGUUGUGAAUCUCCAUGCCUGUAGCUCCAUUGUUGUUGUCAGCAACGAAGGUGUACAUUUAGCCACCCAUGGGGAGGAGGUUCCCAGUGUUUGGUCAUCUCUGGUGCAUCCGUCAGAUAAGCAUACUGCUUUUGCGGAUCAAGCAGUCUUCUACUGUCUGCCAGGUCCUUUUGUUUGGGUGAAGGCGCACACAACUCCAACAGAUGACAAUACCUCAUAUCUUGGCAAUACAAUCACUACAUUUUAAUGUACUUUAUGGUGCCCAUUGCAACCAUACCAGCCACACACUACAUCUAAGUGCUACAGUUACAUCUCACGGAUCUGAUCCAAGUCUCCACUGAUGGUAACUGCAGAUUUCCAGUACUUGAUGUAUCUAUAGAGGCUAGUGCUAUCCCAGACUUAGUGUACUUUGCUUAGACAGUACUAUGAUUAGUCUCUACGUGUGUUUUAUGAUGGCUGUCAGAUUUAAUUUGUAACAUAGCCCGUUGUAUUAUUGCUUAUGGUUAUAAUCUCUUCCGCCAAAAUAAGUUCAUGUUUUCUCUGGUUUAACAUAGCCUGUUGUACCAGUCAGAGAAAAUUUAGGCGUUACAACUGUUUACUUUGUAUGGUUUCUAUUGGCUCACAAUUUCUCUAAGUACCGCUACUAAUUUCAUGCA